rnacentral:rRNA from 1 species
UGCAAGUCCAACGUGAAAGGGGAGCAAUCCCCCGGUAGGGUGGCGAACGGGUGAGUAAUACAUGGGAAUCUGCCCUGGAGAUGGGGAUAUCCUUCCGAAAGGAGGGUUAAUACCGAAUAUCGUCCGGGUGACGAGAGUCAUUUGGGGAAAGGGAGGCCUCUGGCAACAUGCUUCCGCUCCGGGAGGAGCCCAUGGCCCAUCAGCUAGUUGGUAGGGUAACGGCCUACCAAGGCAAAGACGGGUAGCUGGUCUGAGAGGACGAUCAGCCACACUGGCACUGAGACACGGGCCAGACUCCUACGGGAGGCAGCAGUGAGGAAUUUUGCGCAAUGGGGGCAACCCUGACGCAGCAACGCCGCGUGUGGGAAGAAGGCUUUCGGGUUGUAAACCACUUUUGCAAGGGACGAAGUCCUUCCGGAUAAUACCCGGAGGGGAUGACGGUACCUUGCGAAUAAGCCACGGCUAACUCUGAGCCAGCAGCCGCGGUAAGACA